UACGUAGGGGGCAAGCGUUGUCCGGAUUUAUUGGGCGUAAAGAGCGUGUAGGCGGCCAAGCAGGUCCGCUGUGAAAACUCGAGGCUCAACCUCGAGACGUCGGUGGAAACCGUUUGGCUAGAGUCCGGGAGAGGAGAGUGGAAUUCCCGGUGUAGCGGUGAAAUGCGCAGAUAUCGGGAAGAACACCCGUGGCGAAGGCGGCUCUCUGGGACGGUACUGACGCUGAGACGCGAAAGCGUGGGGAGCGAACAGG
rnacentral:rRNA from 1 species